GAGAGAGAUUAAAAUUAAAUAUCCAACCAGAAUGAGGAUUUCUGCUUGAAAGGAAAUUUAAUUUGUUUUUGGCGAUAAAUUCAGCAUCUCAAGAUGUAGUUGCUAACUUGCUGGUUAUAAUCUUAAGAUAUUCAAUCUUUAUCAUCCUGGAUGGCCACUUUCAGUAUUUUUGGUUGCUGAAUAUGCCUUCUCUAAUCAUGGAUACGACUGUCUUAAAAGGGCCAAAAUGCAUAGCACUUUUUUUAUGUGCAAUUACAUGUUUAUUGAAUACUGUGCUUUAUAUUUAUAAGAAUUUAUGUUAUUUUCAAAUAAUUCCAUCCACAAUUGUUUGACGUUUUAAUCUUUACCAUUGUGCAUGUUAGGUAUAUGAUAC
rnacentral:misc_RNA from 1 species